rnacentral:rRNA from 1 species
UACGGGGGGGAGCAAGCGUUGUUCGGAUUUACUGGGCGUAAAGGGCGCGUAGGCGGCGUGACAAGUCACUUGUGAAAUCUCCGGGCUUAACUCGGAACGGUCAAGUGAUACUGUCGUGCUAGAGUACAGAAGGGGCAACUGGAAUUCUCGGUGUAGCGGUGAAAUGCGCAGAUAUCAGGAGGAACACCGGUGGCGAAGGCGGGGUCUCUGGGCCGAUAUCGACGCUGAGGAGCGAAAGCGUGGGGAGCGAACAGG